CUCAGUGGCGUGGGCGCUGCACCCCGGGCUGAGAGCGUCCGGCAGUAAAGCCCAGCUUCCCCUGGUGGAGUCGGGAAAAGGGAGCGUCAGUGCUGAGCGAGCUUCCGUCUCCUCCCUCAGUGUUUCUGCCCCAGGGCCUGCAACAUGAGCAUCCCUGACUUCCUGCAGUGUGCUGAGGACUACGAGACUCUCCCUGUGGUGGUCCAACCCGUGGGGAUCAUCUUAGAGGAGAAUUUCUUUUGCAUCUGUAAGCGAAUCUCCUUGGUGAGCCAGAUCAGCCCAUGUAGCUCCCAGUAGGCACUCUGUAUCCACUACAGGCACCACUAUGCACCUGAGAAUGGGUGGAGCAACUUCCAAACCCACUGCAAGGUCGUGGGCCUUGUCACCAUUACCGACUGCCUCUCGGCCAAGGCCUUCGAGAAAAUCCACGUGCAGAGGAGAUGUAUGGCACCAGGCUUUAUGACUCUCAGCUCUUUGUCUUUGUGCUGCAUGUGUAGGUAGCCGAGCAGACGCGCACUGACGUGGCCUUCAAUCUACCAGGGCUGCAGGGUGGUGGAGAAGAGGAUCAAGGAAUUCACUGAGUCACUCUUCAUCAUGCUGAUGUCCAAGUGGCUGGAUGGGGCCCCCGACAAGUCUGGGGACAAGAUCCCCCUUCUCUGCAUCUUGUUUGAGAAGGAGGACUUCAUGGGACUAGACACAGACAGCAGAGAGAUCCUUUUAGGGUUAGUGUGGACACUUACUCCAGCUUUUCAGCCAGGA